AAAAGGUUAAGAUCCACUUUUUACCAGAACCAGUACUUCUCUACUGUAAGCUAAUCAGGUGACGUCAGUACAAGCUAGUUAAUAUUGAAACCUAAAGCCUUUGUCGUAGUAGAAUUGGAAAUUUUGUGUAUGGGGGCGGGUCUUGCAGCGCUUAAUAAUGAUUGACGGGUAAACGCGCCAAACAGCAACUGUGUCUGUGUACCGCAACCACAGGUCGCUGUUGCAGUCAACAUCUGACGGGUUCAGCUUGUUCCCUCGGUUGCAGUGCUGUGUUCACUGAGCAGUGUGUGUUAUCCAGAAGCUUAAUUUCACAACCUGCUGAUCUCAGACCUGUGUGGGAGAAAACAGGUGCUUGAGGGCCUUCAGCCAAUAACACGCCUCCCCAAGUGUGACAACACCCUACUUCAUGAAGACCACCACCAAAUGUGCCAGAGGGACUCCGGGUGUGUAUGACGGUGGCUGGCCGGCUCUGCCUAACACAAAACAAGCACGACGUUGGAAAUCAAGACUCGUGGAUUGUGCAAAUCAAAUGUUGUCAUUGUUGGUUUGGCUUUGGAAGCACACUUACAGGUAAGUUUUUACAGGUAAGUGCUCUUUUUAAGGAAUAGUUCAGCCAAAAAUACAAAUCUGGUCACCGUUUACUCAAUUUUAAGUCAUUUCAGACCCAAAUUGCUUUCUUUCUUCUGUGGAACAUGAAAGGUUAUAUUGGCCACUCUUUUAGGAUUUGAAAGAAAUCCACCUUUUGUGAGGCACAGAAAAAAGUCAUGCGAGUUUGAAAUGACACGAGGCUAAGAGAUGAAACACCUGGACCACAACAAUUUUGCCAAACUAUAGAAAAUGGAAGAUAAUGGAGAAGAAAAUAGCGACAACAUUUAAGGCCAGUGUGAAAACAAGAUGACAGAAGGAAGGGAUAUUACAGGGUCAUCUUUUGUUUCCAAUGUUGUAAAGACAGAUGCACAUUAAAACACAAAACACAAUUCCAAAAAUAUCAGCAUGCUGCAUCCAAUUAAAGUCAUUUGUUUUUCAUUCAUUUUGCAGACACUGUUAUCCAAAGCAGAGAGCAUAGUACACAAGCUAAUUUUGCCUUAAAUAUAAUAUAAACUAUCUGUUUGUUUGCAUUUUUUUUUAUUAGAAAAGGUAAUGUAAUGUAAGUUUUAUGAAGUAAGAUUUCCCCCGUUCAUGUUUCCGCCCUCACUGAAAGUGCACGUGUAUCCGGAGAGAUUUCAUGUCCCUUUAUUAGAUUAGUGAACAGAAACAGAUUUAUGAAGUGUGUCAGUUUCACCGCAGGUUUGUUUAUUACCCAUUGUUGGUCAGGUUUAAGUGAAUUUGUGUGUGCAGUAACAUAUAGACAUAAUGGACACCGAAUGGGCACACAUAUGACACCUGAUAUGUUUCUGCUGAGCACCCGGGGCGAAUGAUUGAUGAAAAAGACCACAAAUGUUACAGGCUUUAUUGUGCCUGUAGCAACACACA